GUUACCAUCAGGAUCAUGUCGCUGGCUGACAAAGGGAACUUGGGUCUGGCCUUACUCAAAUAAUGGAAAUGAUCAGGUUCUGUACAGAGCAAGAGCUUGGCAUUGUGUACUUCAACUGAAAUAGCAAGGAGAAUGGCUGAAUGGAGGAUUUUGUUACUAAAAAGAGGACUGAUACCUGAGAUGACAUUUUGUCUGUCCCCAGCUGAGAUUACUGAGAAUGGUGACGCUUGGACUGCUGCAGACUGAGCUCAUCAAUCCUCUGGGAUUCAUC